rnacentral:misc_RNA from 1 species
GAUGAAGAACGUAGCGAAAUGCGAUAAGUAGUGUGAAUUGCAGAAUUCAGUGAAUCAUCGAAUCUUUGAACGCACAUUGCGCCCCUUGGUAUUCCAUGGGGCAUGCCUGUUCGAGCGUCAUUUGUACCUUCAAGCUUUGCUUGGUGUUGGGUGUUUGUCUCGCCUUUGCGUGUAGACUCGCCUUAAAAUAAUUGGCAGCCGGCGUAUUGAUUUCGGAGCGCAGUACAUCUCGCGCUUUGCACUCAUAACGACAGCGUCCAAAAGUACAUUUUACACUCUUGACCUCGGAUCAGGUAGGGAUACCCGCUGAACUUAAGCAUAUCAAAGCGGAGGA